rnacentral:tRNA from 1 species
GCCUCGAUGGUGUAGCGGCCGAGCAUAUGGCCCUGUCACGGCCAUGACCCGGGUUCAAAGGCCCGCUUUUCCGGCAGCUGCCGCUUGCACAAAAGCAGGCGCGCAAAAGUGGAAAUGCGUGCUGAAAAUCCCGGUCGGGGCG